GACGAACGCUGGCGGCGUGCUUAACACAUGCAAGUCGAACGGAAAGGCCCUGCUUUUGUGGGGUGCUCGAGUGGCGAACGGGUGAGUAACACGUGAGUAACCUGCCCUUGACUUUGGGAUAACUUCAGGAAACUGGGGCUAAUACCGGAUAGGAGCUCCUGCUGCAUGGUGGGGGUUGGAAAGUUUCGGCGGUUGGGGAUGGACUCGCGGCUUAUCAGCUUGUUGGUGGGGUAGUGGCUUACCAAGGCUUUGACGGGUAGCCGGCCUGGGAGGGUGACCGGCCACAUUGGGACUGAGAUACGGCCCAGACUCCUACGGGAGGCAGCAGUGGGGAAUAUUGCACAAUGGGCGGAAGCCUGAUGCAACAACGCCGCGUGCGGGAUGACGGCCUUCGGGUUGUAAACCGCUUUCGCCUGUGACGAAGCGUGAGUGACGGUAAUGGGUAAAGAAGCACCGGCUAACUACGUG
rnacentral:rRNA from 1 species